UACGUAGGGAGCAAGCGUUGUCCGGAAUCAUUGGGCGUAAAGCGCGCGUAGGUGGCCAUGUAAGUCCGCUGUGAAAGUCAAAGGCUCAACCUUUGAAAGCCGGUGGAUACUGCAUGGCUAGAGUACGGAAGAGGCGGGUGGAAUUCCUGGUGUAGCGGUGGAAUGCGCAGAUAUCAGGAGGAACACCGAUGGCGAAGGCAGCUCGCUGGGACGGUACUGACGCUGAGGCGCGAAAGCGUGGGGAGCAAACAGG
rnacentral:rRNA from 1 species